rnacentral:rRNA from 1 species
UGUUUGAUGUUCUAACGUGGACCCGUGAUCCGGGUUGCGGACAGUGUCUGGUGGGUAGUUUGACUGGGGCGGUCUCCUCCUAAAGAGUAACGGAGGAGCACGAAGGUUGGCUAAUCCUGGUCGGACAUCAGGAGGUUAGUGCAAUGGCAUAAGCCAGCUUGACUGCGAGCGUGACGGCGCGAGCAGGUGCGAAAGCAGGUCAUAGUGAUCCGGUGGUUCUGAAUGGAAGGGCCAUCGCUCAACGGAUAAAAGGUACUCCGGGGAUAACAGGCUGAUACCGCCCAAGAGUUCAUAUCGACGGCGGUGUUUGGCACCUCGAUGUCGGCUCAUCACAUCCUGGGGCUGAAGUAGGUCCCAAGGGUAUGGCUGUUCGCCAUUUAAAGUGGUACGCGAGCUGGGUUUAGAACGUCGUGAGACAGUUCGGUCCCUAUCUGCCGUGGGCGCUGGAGAACUGAGGGGGGCUGCUCCUAGUACGAGAGGACCGGAGUGGACGCAUCACUGGUGUUCGGGUUGUCAUGCCAAUGGCACUGCCCGGUAGCUAAAUGCGGAAGAGAUAAGUGCUGAAAGCAUCUAAGCACGAAACUUGCCCCGAGAUGAGUUCUCCCUGAGACUUUAGGUCUCCUGAAGGAACGUUGAAGACG